GACGAACGCUGGCGGCGUGCUUAACACAUGCAAGUCGAACGGAAAGGCCCUGCUUUUGUGGGGUGCUCGAGUGGCGAACGGGUGAGUAACACGUGAGUAACCUGCCCUUGACUUUGGGAUAACUUCAGGAAACUGGGGCUAAUACCGGAUAGGAGCUCCUGCUGCAUGUUGGGGGUUGGAAAGUUUCGGCGGUUGGGGAUGGACUCGCGGCUUAUCAGCUUGUUGGUGGGGUAGUGGCUUACCAAGGCUUUGACGGAUAGCCGGCCUGAGAGGGUGACCGGCCACAUUGGGACUGAGAUACGGCCCAGACUCCUACGGGAGGCAGCAGUGGGGAAUAUUGCACAAUGGGCGGAAGCCUGAUGCAGCAACGCCGCGUGCGGGAUGACGGCCUUCGGGUUGUAAACCGCUUUCGCCUGUGACGAAGCGUGAGUGACGGUAAUGGGUAAAGAAGCACCGGCUAACUACGUG
rnacentral:rRNA from 1 species